GACGAACGCUGGCGGCGUGCUUAACACAUGCAAGUCGAACGGAAAGGCCCCUUUGGGGGUACUCGAGUGGCGCACGGGUGAGUAACACGUGAGUAACCUGCCCUUGACUUCGGGAUAACUUCAGGAAACUGGGGCUAAUACCGGAUAGGAAUCCUUGCUGCAUGGUGGGGGUUGGAAAGCUUCGGCGGUUUUGGAUGGACUCGCGGCUUAUCAGCUUGUUGGUGGGGUAGUGGCUUACCAAGGCUUUGACGGGUAGCCGGCCUGAGAGGGCGACCGGCCACAUUGGGACUGGGAUACGGCCCAGACUCCUACGGGAGGCAGCAGUGGGGAAUAUUGCACAAUGGGCGGAAGCCUGAUGCAGCAACGCCGCGGGCGGGAUGACGGCCUUCGGGUUGUAAACCGCUUUCAGCAGGGGCGAAGCUUGUGGUGACGGUACCUGCAGAAGAAGCACCGGCUAACUACGUG
rnacentral:rRNA from 1 species